AUGAAGAACGUAGCGAAAUGCGAUAAGUAAUGUGAAUUGCAGAAUUCAGUGAAUCAUCGAAUCUUUGAACGCACCUUGCACCCUUUGGCAUUCUGAAGGGUAUGCUCGUUUGAGUGUCAUUGUACUCUCACACUCCCGAUCUUUGCAUUGGGAGCAGUGGACUUGGGUUUGCUGCUUCACCGUCGCUUACCUCAAAUAGGUUAGUGCAACUCUUGGUUGGACAUAGUACGGCGUGAUAAGUGUUCUUCGCCGGUGCCUCGCAAAGAGGGUGGCCGAUCGGGAUGUUGUGCUCCAAACCGUCUUCGGACAAUCUCUGACGACUUGACCUCAAAUCGAGUAAGACUACCCGCUGAACUUAAGCAUAUCAAUAAGCGGAGGA
rnacentral:misc_RNA from 1 species